GACGAACGCUGGCGGCGUGCUUAACACAUGCAAGUCGAACGAGACGAUUGAAAGCUUGCUUUCGAAAGUCGUGUGGCAAACGGGUGAGUAACGCGUAGACAACCUGCCUUUGAGAUGGGGACAACAGUUCGAAAGGACUGCUAAUACCGAAUGUUGUAUAUUUUCCACAUGGAAGAUAUAUUAAAGAUGGCCUCUAUUUAUAAGCUAUCGCUCAAAGAUGGGUCUGCGUCUGAUUAGCUGGUUGGUGGGGUAACGGCCUACCAAGGCGACGAUCAGUAGCCGGGCUGAGAGGAUGAACGGCCACAUUGGGACUGAGACACGGCCCAGACUCCUACGGGAGGCAGCAGUGGGGAAUCUUCCAAAAUGGACGAAAGUCUGAUGGAGCAACGCCGCGUGAGUGAAGAAGGGUUUCGGCCCGUAAAGCUCUGUUGUCGGGGACGAAUGUGCAGUAUUUGAAUAAAGUACUGCAAUGACGGUACCUGACGAGGAAGCCACGGCUAACUACGUGCCAGCCGCCGCGGUAA
rnacentral:rRNA from 1 species